rnacentral:rRNA from 1 species
UGGGGAAUAUUGGACAAUGGGGGCAACCCUGAUCCAGCCAUGCCGCGUGAACGAUGAAGGCCUUCGGGUUGUAAAGUUCUUUUGACAGGGAAGAUGAUGACUGUACCUGUAGAAUAAGCACCGGCUAACUUCGUGCCAGCAGCCGCGGUAAUACGAAGGGUGCUAGCGUUGUUCGGAAUUACUGGGCGUAAAGGGCGCGUAGGCGGGUCGACAAGUUGGAUGUGAAAGCCCAGGGCUCAACCCUGGAAUUGCAUUCAAGACUGUCUUUCUUGAAUUCGGUAGAGGUUGGUGGAAUUCCCAGUGUAGAGGUGAAAUUCGUAGAGAUUGGGAAGAACACCCGUGGCGAAGGCGGCCAACUGGACCGACAUUGACGCUGAGGCGCGAAAGCGUGGGGAUCAAACAGG